rnacentral:misc_RNA from 1 species
AACAAGGCGUACCUGCGGACCUGCGGAAGGAUCAUUACAGAGUUCGUGCCCUCGCGGGUAGAUCUCCCACCCUUGUGUAUUUUCUACAUUUUGUUGCUUUGGCAGGCCGUUGGUUCGCCAACCACCGGCUCGCGGGCUGGUGCGUGCCUGCCAGAGGACCUCUCAAACUCGGUUUGUUAGUGUCGUCUGAGUACCAUAACAAUCGUUAAAACUUUCAACAACGGAUCUCAGAUCGGAAGA